rnacentral:sRNA from 1 species
GCUGGGCAUGAUGGCUCAUGCCUGUAAUCCUAGCACUUUGGGAGGCUGAGGUGGGUGGAUCACCUGAGGCCAGGAGUUCGAGAUCAGCCUGGCCAACAUGGUCUCUACUAAAAAUACAAAAAUUAGCUGGGCUUGGUGGCAGACGCCAGUAAUCCCAGCUACUAAGGAGGCUGAGGCAGGAGAAUUGCUUGAACCCAGGAGGUGGAAGUUGCAGUGAGCCGAGAUCAUGACACAGCACUCCAGCCUGGGCAACAGAGUGAGACUCUGUCUCA